GACGAACGCUGGCGGCGCGCUUAACACAUGCAAGUCGAACGGAAAGGCCUGCUUUCCCUUGUGGAUUGCGGGUACUCGAGUGGCGAACGGGUGAGUAACACGUGAGUGAUCUGCCCCCAACUUGGGUAUAAGCCUGGGACACUGGGUCUAAUUCCCGAUAGGACUGCAGGGUGGUGCCUGUGGUGGAAAACGAUUUUCUAGUGGUUGGGGAUGAGCUCGCGGCCUAUCAGCUUGUUGGUGGGGUAAUGGCCUACCAAGGCGGCGACGGGUAGCCGGCCUGAGAGGGUGGACGGCCACAUUGGGACUGAGAUACGGCCCAGAAUCCUACGGGAGGCAGCAGUGGGGAAUAUUGCACAAUGGGCGGAAGCCUGAUGCAGCGACGCCGCGUGGGGGAUGACGGCCUUCGGGUUGUAAACUCCUUUCGACCGCGAGGAAGCCACCUGGUUGGAAGGGUGGUGACGGUAGUGGUAGAAGAAGCACCGGCUAACUACGUG
rnacentral:rRNA from 1 species